rnacentral:tRNA from 1 species
AAGGAUUUAAGUUAAUUAAACUAAGAACCUUCAAAGUUCUAAAUAAAGACUACUUUCUCUUUAAGCCUUA